CAGUAGCCGCGGUAAUACGAACCGUGCGAACGUUAUUCGGAAUUACUGGGCUUAAAGCGCGUGUAGGCGGGCCGCCACGUCGGUUGCUGAAAUCCCCCGGCUCAACCGGGGAAGUGGCAUCGAUACGAGCGGCCUUGAGGGGGGUAGGGGGAUCUGGAACUUCCGGUGGAGCGGUGAAAUGCGUUGAGAUCGGAAAGAACACCAACGGCGAAAGCACUCUGCUGGGCCGACACUGACACUGAGAGACGAAAGCUAGGGGAGCAAAUGGGAUUAGAGACCCCAGUAGUCCCUGUCUCUUAUU
rnacentral:rRNA from 1 species